AAUAUUGCACAAUGGGCGAAAGCCUGAUGCAGCGACGCCGCGUGAGCGAAGAAGUAUUUCGGUAUGUAAACCUCUAUCAGCAGGGAAGAAAUUGACGUUACCUGACUAAGAAGCCCCGGCUAAAUACGUUCAAGCAGCCGCGGUAAUACGUAUGGUGCAAGCGUUAUCCGGAUUUACUGGGUGUAAAGGGAGCGUAGACGGUUGUGUAAGUCUGAUGUGAAAACCCGGGGCUCAACCCCGGGACUGCAUUGGAAACUAUGCAGCUAGAGUGCCGGAGAGGUAAGCGGAAUUCCUAGUGUAGCGGUGAAAUGCGUAGAUAUUAGGAGGAACACCAGUGGCGAAGGCGGCUUACUGGACGGUAACUGACGUUGAGGCUCGAAAGCGUGGGGAGCAAA
rnacentral:rRNA from 1 species